rnacentral:rRNA from 1 species
GACAGAGGGUGCUAGCGUUGUUCGGAAUUACUGGGCGUAAAGGGCGCGUAGGCGGCUCGUUUAGUCGGGUGUGAAAUCCCGGGGCUCAACCCCGGAACUGCAUUCGAUACUGGCGGGCUAGAGACCGGAAGAGGUGGGUGGAAUACCCAGUGUAGAGGUGAAAUGCGUAGAUAUCGGAAGGAACAUCAGUGGCGAAAGCGACUUCCUGGACCAGUACCGAC